rnacentral:lncRNA from 1 species
GUCUGAGGAGCGGGCUAACCGGCUCCUCCAGCAGCUGCUACCUCCAGCACCACUCCCUCUGCCCCCAGAGGAGAGCACCCAGUCUGGUUCGGGACAGGGGUCUGGGUCCAUCUGACUCACAGCCACACCUCGGGCUGGGGCAGAGGAGGGUCCUCUAGCUAAGGCCCUGGGCAAGCAGCAACCCUGCACCCAUCCCCACCCAGGGGCAGGGGAAGCAAGCACCUGACAGUGCCAGGUAAGAGGCGAACAGCUCUAGGAGAGUAAGGCCCACAAGCAGCCCGCCAAGCCCCCUGGGGGCACGAGGCGGAAUGAGUAGGUCUGGCACUCAGGCCACGAGGGAGUCAACAAGCCAAAUACAGCCCCCACCCUUGGCCCCUACAAGCCCUACCUCUAGACUGGGCUGGGAGCUCCUGUCCUGACAGGUGCAGAGCCCAUGAUACCACAGCGGCCCAUCUGCAAACCUCCCCAGGGUGGGGCCACAGAGGCAGCCCAGAGCCCUGGGGUGCAAGUGCACCCUCCUCUCCCGCCCCUCUAACGCUGGGUCGUCCCACCCAGAGACGAGAGGGCUCACCAGUUGCUCUCCCUCCUUCCGCCCACUAAUCAUCCUUGGCUCUGGGCCCUCAGGGUAAAUCAGCUGUGACAGGACGGCGUGGCAGAAGCGGGCCAGGCUCGUGCCGUACCCAAGCCACUAGCUGUCACACUCAUCUCAGCUCACGUGACCAACAGGGUUACAAGAUAAGGUUCUGUUAAUCCCACGCUGCCCUCUUCCCUUCUGUGGGACGUGUUUUGAGGACUUGUGUGUUGACUGCACCAUGCAGAGCAUAUAGCAUGGAGGCACCCCUACUGCCAUCGGGGGGCAGGUGGAGGGGGGACCGUCCUGCAGCUCCUCCCUGGGGCUACCCCUCUCUUCCCUCUGCACAGACCUGGCAGCCACCCAGACGUCCCGCCUGCUGCCUAGACUCUAAGAAGAUGCCCUAUCACUCCAAUUACCAUACACAGUACUGGCGGGGGAGAGGUCCUGCCUUGCCGCUGAAAACUGCACUGCUUCCUCCCUCCAGGGAUGAAAGGCCAAAAGAACGAGGGCAGUGUGGAGUCUACGCUCUCGCCAGGGACCUGCAGCCUCUCACUUCCAAGCACACCAACUCCAGCUAACAGGACUGGGCUUCCUUACCUGCCGCCUUCCGCUGCCUCCCCGCAGACACAGCUUCAGCGACGCCCAGGCUGAGACGGCAGAAGAGGUUCCCGCCGGCCGCGGCCUGCCCUCAGGCAGUGGCUCCCAGAGCUCAGCGGUUCCCCGCACUCUUCUGCGCCCGACUCCCCAUGCCCCUACAUCCUGCGUCCCCUUCAGCCCCGGAGGUACCGUGGGGCCCGGGCCUGCCAGUCACCACCUCCUCCUCCGCCGGCGCCUCCGGGUCCUGAGCCCCUCGCCGGGUCCCUCUCCCUCCUGGGGCUCCUUCCCGUUCAGGUAGGUUUCCUGGACAGCCCGCACCACCUGUCCCUCCUGCACCCCGGGCAGCCAAUUCGCCUCUUGCACCCCCAGGCGCCCCUCCCCCGCAGGCCCCCGGGGCCCCACCGGCCGGGCCCUCCCCACCAGCUCGGGGCGGCUUCGGGGCGCCGGGGCCGCUCCCAGGACCACCGCCUCCCGCCCGACGCUCUCCCACUGCCGCUCCCCCAGUUCGCCGGAACUUUCCGGCCCCUCCCUGCGCUCGCGGGGGCCUUCCCCGGACUCGGACGCCGGUUCGGGCUGCUGCAGCAGCCUCCGCGGGCUCCCCUCCCCGCGCUCCUGCACCCCGGCCCGGGCCUCGCCGCGCUCCUGCACUGCGGGGCUGCCUCCGCCCUUCUCCUGGUGCUGCCCGCGGGGCCCCAGCCCCUCCUCCUGCGCCACAGGCCAGCCCGCCGAGCCCGUCCACCACGGCGGGCGCCCCCAGCCCGCGCCGUCCGGCGGCCCCCACACCACCCCCCGGCUGGGCUCGUGGCCGCGGCCGCCGCGCUCCUGCAGCCCCGGGCCCACCCCGCCCUCCUCCUGCACCGCCGGGCCCACCCCGCCCCGCUCCUCCACGCCGAGCUUCAGCCCGCGGAGCUGCUGCGGGCCCCAGCUGAGAACCCCUACGCGCUGCGGCUGCUGCUCCGGCAGCGCAGGGCUCAGCCCGCCGCGCUCCUCCUGCGCGACCCGCCGGGGGCCCCCGACCGGCUCGGCCCAGCGCACUCGCUUGCCCCCCAGAGGCCGCGCGCUCCCACCCCUCCAGAUGGUGCUGCCCUCGGCGCCCGCUCACACCGCCCGCCCGCCCCGGCCCUCCCCU